UAAGAGGUCCCGCCUGCCCUGUGACUAUAUGUUUAACGGCCGCGGUAUUUUGACCGUGCAAAGGUAGCGCAAUCACUUGUCCUUUAAAUGUGGACCUGUAUGAAUGGCAUAACGAGGGCUUAGCUGUCUCCUUUCUCAAGUCAAUGAACUUGAUCUCCCCGUGCAGAAGCGGGGAUAAAACCAUAAGACGAGAAGACCCUAUGGAGCUUUAGACAAAAAACAGCCCCUGUCAAUAAACCCUAAAUAAAGGGAAUAAACCUAGUGAACCUGUUUUAAUGUCUUUGGUUGGGGCGACCGCGGGGUAACAAAAAACCCCCAUGUGGAAUGAAAACACCCUUUUUAAACCCAAGAGUCACCACUCUAGGAUACAGAACAUCUGACCAAUAAUGAUCCGGCUAAAGCCGAUUAACGAACCGAGUUACCCUAGGGAUAACAGCGCAAUCCUCUUUUAGAGUCCAUAUCGACAAGAGGGUUUACGACCUCGAUGUUGGAUCAGGACAUCCUAAUGGUGCAGCCGCUAUUAAAGUUCG
rnacentral:rRNA from 1 species